rnacentral:rRNA from 1 species
UGGGGAAUUUUGCGCAAUGGGCGAAAGCCUGACGCAGCAACGCCGCGUGAGUGAUGAAGGCCUUCGGGUCGUAAAGCUCUGUCAAGGGGGAAGAAAUGCGGGACGCUAAUAACGGCUCCGCUUGACGGUACCCCUGAAGGAAGCACCGGCUAACUCCGUGCCAGCAGCCGCGGUAAUACGGAGGGUGCAAGCGUUGUUCGGAAUUAUUGGGCGUAAAGCGCGUGUAGGCGGUUUGGUAAGUCUGAUGUGAAAGCCCUGGGCUCAACCUGGGAAGUGCAUUGGAUACUGCCAGACUUGAGUACGGGAGAGGGAAGUGGAAUUCCUAGUGUAGGAGUGAAAUCCGUAGAUAUUAGGAGGAACACCGGUGGCGAAGGCGGCUUCCUGGACCGAUACUGACGCUGAGACGCGAAAGCGUGGGGAGCAAACAGG